rnacentral:rRNA from 1 species
AACGAACGCUGGCGGCAGGCCUAACACAUGCAAGUCGAGCGCUGUAGCAAUACAGAGCGGCGCACGGGUGAGUAACACGUGGGAACGUGCCCUUUGGUUCGGAAUAACUCAGGGAAACUUGAGCUAAUACCGGAUGAGCCCUAACGGGGAAAGAUUUAUCGCCGAAGGAGCGGCCCGCGUUGGAUUAGCUAGUUGGUGGGGUAAAAGCCUACCAAGGCAACGAUCCAUAGCUGGUUUGAGAGAACGACCAGCCACACUGGGACUGAGACACGGCCCAGACUCCUACGGGAGGCAGCAGUGGGGAAUCUUGGACAAUGGGGGAAACCCUGAUCCAGCCAUGCCGCGUGAGUGAUGAAGGCCCUAGGGUUGUAAAACUCUUUCGGCGGGGACGAUAAUGACGGUACCCGCAGAAGAAGCUCCGGCUAACUUCGUGCCAGCAGCCGCGGUAAUACGAAGGGGGCUAGCGUUGUUCGGAAUUACUGGGCGUAAAGCGCGCGCAGGCGGUUCUUCAAGUCAGG